UACGUAGGGUGCAAGCGUUGUCCGGAAUUAUUGGGCGUAAAGAGCUCGUAGGUGGCCUGUCGCGUCGGCUGUGAAAACUCGGGGGCUCAACUCCGAGCUUGCAGUCGAUACGGGCAGGCUAGAGUUCGGCAGGGGGAGACUGGAAUUCCUGGUGUAGCGGUGAAAUGCGCAGAUAUCAGGAGGAACACCGAUGGCGAAGGCAGGUCUCUGGGCCGAUACUGACGCUGAGGAGCGAAAGCGUGGGGAGCGAACAGG
rnacentral:rRNA from 1 species